GAUAAACGCUGGCGGCGUGCCUAAUACAUGCAAGUCGAGCGAACGGACGAGAAGCUUGCUUCUCUGAUGUUAGCGGCGGACGGGUGAGUAACACGUGGAUAACCUACCUAUAAGACUGGGAUAACUUCGGGAAACCGGAGCUAAUACCGGAUAAUAUUUUGAACCGCAUGGUUCAAAAGUGAAAGACGGUCUUGCUGUCACUUAUAGAUGGAUCCGCGCUGCAUUAGCUAGUUGGUAAGGUAACGGCUUACCAAGGCAACGAUGCAUAGCCGACCUGAGAGGGUGAUCGGCCACACUGGAACUGAGACACGGUCCAGACUCCUACGGGAGGCAGCAGUAGGGAAUCUUCCGCAAUGGGCGAAAGCCUGACGGAGCAACGCCGCGUGAGUGAUGAAGGUCUUCGGAUCGUAAAACUCUGUUAUUAGGGAAGAACAUAUGUGUAAGUAACUGUGCACAUCUUGACGGUACCUAAUCAGAAAGCCACGGCUAACUACGUGCCAGCAGCCGCGGUAAUACGUAGGUGGCAAGCGUUAUCCGGAAUUAUUGGGCGUAAAGCGCGCGUAGGCGGUUUUUUAAGUCUGAUGUGAAAGCCCACGGCUCAACCGUGGAGGGUCAUUGGAAACUGGAAAACUUGAGUGCAGAAGAGGAAAGUGGAAUUCCAUGUGUAGCGGUGAAAUGCGCAGAGAUAUGGAGGAACACCAGUGGCGAAGGCGACUUUCUGGUCUGUAACUGACGCUGAUGUGCGAAAGCGUGGGGAUCAAACAGGAUUAGAUACCCUGGUAGUCCACGCCGUAAACGAUGAGUGCUAAGUGUUAGGGGGUUUCCGCCCCUUAGUGCUGCAGCUAACGCAUUAAGCACUCCGCCUGGGGAGUACGACCGCAAGGUUGAAACUCAAAGGAAUUGACGGGGACCCGCACAAGCGGUGGAGCAUGUGGUUUAAUUCGAAGCAACGCGAAGAACCUUACCAAAUCUUGACAUCCUUUGACAACUCUAGAGAUAGAGCCUUCCCCUUCGGGGGACAAAGUGACAGGUGGUGCAUGGUUGUCGUCAGCUCGUGUCGUGAGAUGUUGGGUUAAGUCCCGCAACGAGCGCAACCCUUAAGCUUAGUUGCCAUCAUUAAGUUGGGCACUCUAAGUUGACUGCCGGUGACAAACCGGAGGAAGGUGGGGAUGACGUCAAAUCAUCAUGCCCCUUAUGAUUUGGGCUACACGCGUGCUACAAUGGACAAUACAAAGGGCAGCGAAACCGCGAGGUCAAGCAAAUCCCAUAAAGUUGUUCUCAGUUCGGAUUGUAGUCUGCAACUCGACUACAUGAAGCUGGAAUCGCUAGUAAUCGUAGAUCAGCAUGCUACGGUGAAUACGUUCCCGGGUCU
rnacentral:rRNA from 1 species